GGGUUGUGAGGUUAAGCGACUAAGCGUACACGGUGGAUGCCCUGGCAGUCAGAGGCGAUGAAGGACGUGCUAAUCUGCGAUAAGCGUCGGUAAGGUGAUAUGAACCGUUAUAACCGGCGAUUUCCGAAUGGGGAAACCCAGUGUGAUUCGUCACACUAUCAUUAACUGAAUCCAUAGGUUAAUGAGGCGAACCGGGGGAACUGAAACAUCUAAGUACCCCGAGGAAAAGAAAUCAACCGAGAUUCCCCCAGUAGCGGCGAGCGAACGGGGAGCAGCCCAGAGCCUGAAUCAGUGUGUGUGUUAGUGGAAGCGUCUGGAAAGGCGCGCGAUACAGGGUGACAGCCCCGUACACAAAAAUGCACAUACUGUGAGCUCGAUGAGUAGGGCGGGACACGUGGUAUCCUGUCUGAAUAUGGGGGGACCAUCCUCCAAGGCUAAAUACUCCUGACUGACCGAUAGUGAACCAGUACCGUGAGGGAAAGGCGAAAAGAACCCCGGCGAGGGGAGUGAAAAAGAACCUGAAACCGUGUACGUACAAGCAGUGGGAGCACAGAGCAAUCUGUGUGACUGCGUACCUUUUGUAUAAUGGGUCAGCGACUUAUAUUCUGUAGCAAGGUUAACCGAAUAGGGGAGCCGAAGGGAAACCGAGUCUUAACUGGGCGUUAAGUUGCAGGGUAUAGACCCGAAACCCGGUGAUCUAGCCAUGGGCAGGUUGAAGGUUGGGUAACACUAACUGGAGGACCGAACCGACUAAUGUUGAAAAAUUAGCGGAUGACUUGUGGCUGGGGGUGAAAGGCCAAUCAAACCGGGAGAUAGCUGGUUCUCCCCGAAAGCUAUUUAGGUAGCGCCUCGUGAAUUCAUCUCCGGGGGUAGAGCACUGUUUCGGCAAGGGGGUCAUCCCGACUUACCAACCCGAUGCAAACUGCGAAUACCGGAGAAUGUUAUCACGGGAGACACACGGCGGGUGCUAACGUCCGUCGUGAAGAGGGAAACAACCCAGACCGCCAGCUAAGGUCCCAAAGUCAUGGUUAAGUGGGAAACGAUGUGGGAAGGCCCAGACAGCCAGGAUGUUGGCUUAGAAGCAGCCAUCAUUUAAAGAAAGCGUAAUAGCUCACUGGUCGAGUCGGCCUGCGCGGAAGAUGUAACGGGGCUAAACCAUGCACCGAAGCUGCGGCAGCGACGCUUAUGCGUUGUUGGGUAGGGGAGCGUUCUGUAAGCCUGUGAAGGUGUGCUGUGAGGCAUGCUGGAGGUAUCAGAAGUGCGAAUGCUGACAUAAGUAACGAUAAAGCGGGUGAAAAGCCCGCUCGCCGGAAGACCAAGGGUUCCUGUCCAACGUUAAUCGGGGCAGGGUGAGUCGACCCCUAAGGCGAGGCCGAAAGGCGUAGUCGAUGGGAAACAGGUUAAUAUUCCUGUACUUGGUGUUACUGCGAAGGGGGGACGGAGAAGGCUAUGUUGGCCGGGCGACGGUUGUCCCGGUUUAAGCGUGUAGGCUGGUUUUCCAGGCAAAUCCGGAAAAUCAAGGCUGAGGCGUGAUGACGAGGCACUACGGUGCUGAAGCAACAAAUGCCCUGCUUCCAGGAAAAGCCUCUAAGCAUCAGGUAACAUCAAAUCGUACCCCAAACCGACACAGGUGGUCAGGUAGAGAAUACCAAGGCGCUUGAGAGAACUCGGGUGAAGGAACUAGGCAAAAUGGUGCCGUAACUUCGGGAGAAGGCACGCUGAUAUGUAGGUGAAGUCCCUCGCGGAUGGAGCUGAAAUCAGUCGAAGAUACCAGCUGGCUGCAACUGUUUAUUAAAAACACAGCACUGUGCAAACACGAAAGUGGACGUAUACGGUGUGACGCCUGCCCGGUGCCGGAAGGUUAAUUGAUGGGGUCAGCGCAAGCGAAGCUCUUGAUCGAAGCCCCGGUAAACGGCGGCCGUAACUAUAACGGUCCUAAGGUAGCGAAAUUCCUUGUCGGGUAAGUUCCGACCUGCACGAAUGGCGUAAUGAUGGCCAGGCUGUCUCCACCCGAGACUCAGUGAAAUUGAACUCGCUGUGAAGAUGCAGUGUACCCGCGGCAAGACGGAAAGACCCCGUGAACCUUUACUAUAGCUUGACACUGAACAUUGAGCCUUGAUGUGUAGGAUAGGUGGGAGGCUUUGAAGUGUGGACGCCAGUCUGCAUGGAGCCGACCUUGAAAUACCACCCUUUAAUGUUUGAUGUUCUAACGUUGACCCGUAAUCCGGGUUGCGGACAGUGUCUGGUGGGUAGUUUGACUGGGGCGGUCUCCUCCUAAAGAGUAACGGAGGAGCACGAAGGUUGGCUAAUCCUGGUCGGACAUCAGGAGGUUAGUGCAAUGGCAUAAGCCAGCUUGACUGCGAGCGUGACGGCGCGAGCAGGUGCGAAAGCAGGUCAUAGUGAUCCGGUGGUUCUGAAUGGAAGGGCCAUCGCUCAACGGAUAAAAGGUACUCCGGGGAUAACAGGCUGAUACCGCCCAAGAGUUCAUAUCGACGGCGGUGUUUGGCACCUCGAUGUCGGCUCAUCACAUCCUGGGGCUGAAGUAGGUCCCAAGGGUAUGGCUGUUCGCCAUUUAAAGUGGUACGCGAGCUGGGUUUAGAACGUCGUGAGACAGUUCGGUCCCUAUCUGCCGUGGGCGCUGGAGAACUGAGGGGGGCUGCUCCUAGUACGAGAGGACCGGAGUGGACGCAUCACUGGUGUUCGGGUUGUCAUGCCAAUGGCACUGCCCGGUAGCUAAAUGCGGAAGAGAUAAGUGCUGAAAGCAUCUAAGCACGAAACUUGCCCCGAGAUGAGUUCUCCCUGACUCCUUGAGAGUCCUGAAGGAACGUUGAAGACGACGACGUUGAUAGGCCGGGUGUGUAAGCGCAGCGAUGCGUUGAGCUAACCGGUACUAAUGAACCGUGAGGCUUAACCUUACAACGCCGAAGGUGUUU
rnacentral:rRNA from 1 species